rnacentral:misc_RNA from 1 species
AAGUCGUAACAAGGUAACCGUAGGUGAACCUGCGGUUGGAUCAUUAAUAAAUUCUAGAGCAGCAAGGGUCAUGGCUUAAUUGUUGUGGCUCUCUGUUGUUUCUUAACAAUUUGUGAAUCGUUUAUUGUCUCUUGCGGGUGAAGGUUUUCUCUUAACCGAGGGGGCCGACCCCGCAUGUAACUCUUAACAUUGUAAUAUAAUUAUUUGUCUUGAAAUUUAAACUUUAAAAAUUUAAAAACAACUUUUGACAACGGAUCUCUAGGCUCUC